rnacentral:lncRNA from 1 species
GUGACUCUCAAACGUUAGUUUACUCCCAGCAUCACUUGGGGAGCUUGCUAAGCUACGAAUUCCGAGGUCCCACUGGAGAGUCUGAUUUAAUGACCCUGGAGUGGCGGCCGGAUAACCUGCCUGCUGGGGUGAUUUUAACGCAGCUGAUGCGAAGACCCCAUUUAGGGAAUCAUUGGGUUGGCGUUUGCAAUGCGUUCCUCCCAGCUAUAGGACAAAGAGGUGUCAACUCAACUGUGUCUUCUUAGAAGAGCCCAUUAUUUAUAGGCUGGACUGGAACUCCUGGACUCAAGCGAUCUUUCCAUUUAUCAGGGACUACUGACGCGUGUCUCCCAAUAAAUACCUG